UCCUGUCUGGUCCUGAUUCUGCUUCUCUUCAGCUGGAUAAGAGUAAUAAAUCAGGCUGAGAAUCAUGCCAGUGAAUCUGGGGAGGACUGGUUCUACCUGACAUCAUGUAUUGUAUGGAAAGGUCCCUGUGGAAGGUAACGGUGCAUAGAGGCUCCCUUUGUUUUGCAACAGAGUUUUCUACACAGCUCUGUCAUCCCCUGGAAUUAACCCAGGACUCACCGGUGUUGUGGGUCAGAAUCUGCUGCUCCUGGUUGUUCUGACUUUGAGCUGCCUGUAAGAAACUCUACAAUGAAGGACUGAACUGCAGCAUGUAACAGUAAGGUGAGUUGAAGCACUGUUUCACGUAGGAGACUUUCCGAAGGAAAAGGAAGAAAUGGAGAGUUGCAGUU